GGAGGGGAGAGAGAGAAAGCGAAGCAAAAGAAGCAGAGAGGGUUGUGGGAAAGAGAGAAAAGUGUUGUGGAGGGAGAGAAGUGCAGAGAGAAGAGAGAAAAACCACGACAGAGGCAGAAUCAUAUAUUGUAGAGGGAUGAGUACCAUUACUUUCGUUUCAACUCUGCGAUCAUUUGUCUUUUUCGUUCCAAUUUUCCAUCGUCUCUGGAUCCAUGGUGAUUCUUGUGUGUCUGUGAAGGGGAGAAGGAAGGGGAGAGGAAAGUGCGAUGCAAAGAGGGUCGUGGGAGAGAGAGGAAAUCAACGAGAGUGGCGGGCCUUGAUUAAUAUGUUGUUGGUGGUGAAAAUUUUCUUCUCUACCCCUUGUUUGACUUGAAGUCAUGGUUUUAUUCUAAAGUUCUGAUACGAAAUGAUAUCAAAUGAUACCAAAUGAUGUAAUCUCUUUCACGGGAUUGCCCAAAUACAAGGAUUGAGAGAGUA